rnacentral:rRNA from 1 species
AUUGAACGCUGGCGGCAGGCCUAACACAUGCAAGUCGGACGGUAGCACAGAGAGCUUGCUCUCGGGUGACGAGUGGCGGACGGGUGAGUAAUGUCUGGGAAACUGCCCGAUGGAGGGGGAUAACUACUGGAAACGGUAGCUAAUACCGCAUAACGUCUUCGGACCAAAGUGGGGGACCUUCGGGCCUCACACCAUCGGAUGUGCCCAGAUGGGAUUAGCUAGUAGGUGGGGUAAUGGCUCACCUAGGCGACGAUCCCUAGCUGGUCUGAGAGGAUGACCAGCCACACUGGAACUGAGACACGGUCCAGACUCCUACGGGAGGCAGCAGUGGGGAAUAUUGCACAAUGGGCGCAAGCCUGAUGCAGCCAUGCCGCGUGUAUGAAGAGGGCCUUCGGGUUGUAAAGUACUUUCAGCGGGGAGGAAGGCGAUGAGGUUAAUAACCGCAUCGAUUGACGUUACCCGCAGAAGAGGCACCGGCUAACUCCGUGCCAGCCGCCGCAGUAA